CGUCUGCGGACGGCUGGACACUGUGCUUUGGGUGCAAUCUGACCAGGCAGUUUUGUGCUCUUGCAGUCUCCCUGUGAGCUAUGAAGAGCAGCUACCUGCGGGAGCUUAUCCGGGACCCUUCGGCAGUCCGGGAUCCCCGAGACUGCGGCCGCUGUCCCUUCUAGGACGUCACUUUGCACUGAGUCCACAAAAUCUGCCUUCCAAGGACCAAGGCACCUAACAUUUAGAACCCACUUUGGCGACACUUGACAAUGGAAGAAACAUCUUCCUCCUUCUGUCUCAGCCUAAAAACAGUUUCUGUGUGGGCCCUCACUGGGUCCCAUUUAGUGACCCCAGUUUGCCCUGUCAUGUCCUGCUUCUGUCUGGGCCCUGACAUCCACUCAGGUGUAGGAUUUCUUCAAGACAAACAUCUCACAGCCUCUCCUGUGGCAGUCAGGCCCAAGUGCUUCUCCCUGACUUCAUCCUGGUGAGGACCCGGCAAGUCACGCCAAGGUCUUGUGCCUUAGUCUCCUCAUAUUACCUUGUAUGGAGUGGACUGGAGUCUGAUGAGGGAGAAAUGUGUGAACCUAGGAGAAGCCCUGGUGCUCAGUGUAUUGCUGAGGGUGAUUUGGUUAGCACUUGGGCUUGAUUGGCCGAGGGGGUGGCUGACACCAGCCACAGAUGGCCUGUCCACCAGCAGUCCCACUUGAGAGUGAAGUCUCUCCUAGGGUAGCUGUCGCCCAAGGCAGAAAACCAGCAGGAACCAGGCCUGGUGGAUCUCCUUUGUCCUGGGCUGGUCCAGGGCUGUGUAUACCACAUUCAGCUGCCUGCUUUCUCCAUGCCCAAGAGUAGUUUAAACAGCACGGGUUUAAAGAACUUCCUCCUAAACCAAUCUGGCUCUAUGAGAAUGAAGCAGGUUAUUUAAAACAUAAAAAAAGCUUAUGAGCAUUUCUUCCAUGGUUGGUCAUAUAUUCAAGUUUUCUACUUUAAUUCUGGUAUCUCAAUUUAAUCAAGUGUAGAGUUGUAGAUCAUAUUCUCAUAAUUUGCUCCCUUUAGAAACUUCCACAUACAUUUUUCUUUGUAAAAAUAUUUGUGAUUUUUCUUAGUUUUUUUCCAGUGAUUAGACUCAUUGAAUGCCUGCCAAUUGUACCGCU
rnacentral:lncRNA from 1 species